rnacentral:rRNA from 1 species
AUUGAACGCUGGCGGCAUGCCUUACACAUGCAAGUCGAACGGCAGCACGGGAGUAAUCCUGGUGGCGAGUGGCGAACGGGUGAGUAAUAUAUCGGAACGUGCCCAGUCGUGGGGAGUAACGUAGCGAAAGCUACGCUAAUACCGCAUACGAUCUAUGGAUGAAAGCGGGGGAUCGCAAGACCUCGCGCGAUUGGAGCGGCCGAUAUCAGAUUAGGUAGUUGGUGAGGUAAAGGCUCACCAAGCCGACGAUCUGUAGCUGGUCUGAGAGGACGACCAGCCACACUGGGACUGAGACACGGCCCAGACUCCUACGGGAGGCAGCAGUGGGGAAUUUUGGACAAUGGGCGCAAGCCUGAUCCAGCAAUGCCGCGUGCAGGAUGAAGGCCUUC